rnacentral:tRNA from 1 species
GCAUUGAUGUUCUGUGGUAGAAUUCCCGCCUUCCAUGCCAGAGACCUGGGUUCAAUUCCUGGCCAGUGUA